ACGGGGUGCAGCAGGCGCGAAAACUUUACAAUGCGAGCAAUCGUGAUAAGGGAACUCCGAGUGCCUGUAAAAUCAGGCUGUCCGCCAGUGUAAAUAACUGGUGAAGAAAGGGCCGGGCAAGACCGGUGCCAGCCGCCGCGGUAAUACCGGCGGCUCGAGUGGUGGCCACUAUUACUGGGCUUAAAGCGUUCGUAGCUGGUCUGUUAAGUCUCUGGGGAAAUCUUCCGGCUUAACCGGAAGGCGUCUCAGGGAUACUGGCAGACUAGGGACCGGAAGAGGUGAGAGGUACUCCAGGGGUAGGAGUGAAAUCCUGUAAUCCUUGGGGGACCACCUGUGGCGAAGGCGUCUCACCAGGACGGCUCCGACAGUGAGGAACGAAAGCUGGGGGAGCAAACCGGAUUAGAUACCCGGGUAGUCCCAGCUGUAAACGAUGCGCGUUAGGUGUAUCGGUGACCACGAGUCACCGAGGUGCCGAAGAGAAAUCGUGAAACGCGCCGCCUGGGAAGUACGGUCGCAAGGCUGAAACUUAAAGGAAUUGGCGGGGGAGCAC
rnacentral:rRNA from 1 species